rnacentral:rRNA from 1 species
UGGCGGACGGGUGAGUAAUGUCUGGGAAACUGCCUGAUGGAGGGGGAUAACUACUGGAAACGGUAGCUAAUACCGCAUAACGUCGCAAGACCAAAGAGGGGGACCUUCGGGCCUCUUGCCAUCGGAUGUGCCCAGAUGGGAUUAGCUAGUAGGUGGGGUAACGGCUCACCUAGGCGACGAUCCCUAGCUGGUCUGAGAGGACGACCAGCCACACUGGAACUGAGACACGGUCCAG